rnacentral:rRNA from 1 species
UUGGUUAUGCUAAUAAGAGCGUAUGGUGGAUGCCUUGGCACUAAGAGCCGAUGAAAGACGUGAUAAGCUGCGAAAAGCUUCGGGGAGGAGCAAAUAUCCUGAGAUCCGGAGAUAUCUGAAUGGGGAAACCUACUUGAGAAGACCUCAAGUAUCCACAGCCCAAUCCAUAAGCUGUGGAAGGGAACCCGGUGAACUGAAACAUCUAAGUAGCCGGAGGAAGAGAAAACAACAUGUGAUUCCGUAAGUAGCGGCGAGCGAACGCGGAAGAGCCCAAACCGGAGUGCGUGCACUCCGGGGUUCGGACUGCAGGAUUGACGAGUGAGCCUAGUAGAAUGGUUUUGGGAAAGCCAGCCAGAGAGGGUGAAAGCCCCGUACACGAAAGGCAAGCGAGCAUGGCAGGAUCCAGAGUACCACGAGACACGUGAAACCUUGUGGGAAUGAGCGGGGACCACCCCGUAAGGCUAAAUACUCCUUAGUGACCGAUAGCGCAUAGUACUGUGAAGGAAAGGUGAAAAGGACCCCGGGAGGGGAGUGAAAGAGAACCUGAAACCAUAUGUUUACAAGCUGUGGAACAUCUUUAUAUGAUGAACCGCGUACUUUUUGUAGAACGGUCCGGCGAGUUACGCUGGCUGGCGAGGUUAAGGGCUGAAGGCCUGGAGCCGAAGGGAAACCGAGUCUGAACAGGGCGAAAUAGUCAGUCGGAGUAGACCCGAAACCGGGUGAUCUAUCCAUGUCCAGGUUGAAGUUGCCGUAAAAGGCAAUGGAGGACCGAACCCACAUCCGUUGAAAAGGGUGGGGAUGAGGUGUGGAUAGGGGAGAAAUUCCAAUCGAACCCGGAGAUAGCUGGUUCUCCUCGAAAUAGCUUUAGGGCUAGCCUCAUGCAAGUCUUACGGAGGUAGAGCACUGAAUUCCUAAGGGGGCGUCAAAGCUUACCAAGGGAUAUCAAACUCCGAAUGCCGUGUAGAUGGUGCAUGGGAGUCAGACUAUCCGAGAUAAGUUGGGUAGUCAAAAGGGAAAGAGCCCAGACCUACAGCUAAGGUCCCAAAAUGUGUGUUAAGUGGAAAAGGAUGUGGGAUUUCGAAGACAACUAGGAUGUUGGCUUAGAAGCAGCCAUCCAUUAAAAGAGUGCGUAAUAGCUCACUAGUCGAGAGGUCCUGCGCCGAAAAUGUCCGGGGCUGAAACACACUACCGAAGCUUGGGAAUUGACGAAUGUUAAUUGGUAGAGGAGCAUUCUUAACGGGGCGAAGCUGUACCGGAAGGAGCAGUGGACUGUUAAGAAGAGAGAAUGCCGGAAUGAGUAGCGAGAGGAAGGUGAGAAUCCUUCCGGCCGAAUAUCUAAGGUUUCCAGAGUAAAGCUGAUCUGCUCUGGGUAAGUCGGGGCCUAAGGCGAGGUCGAAAGACGUAGUCGAUGGAUAACAGGUAAAGAUUCCUGUACUGUAUCAUAACAGAACUGUGGGGACGCAGACAGAGAGCAUAAGCCGGGAAUGGAAAGACCGGUACAAGCGAGGUAGGAGUGCAUCAGGCAAAUCCGGUGCACAAUCUGAAGACGUGAUGUGGGGCGUAAAGCCGGAAGUAUGUGAGCUGGCUGCCAAGAAAAGCCGCUAUUGUUUAUGAUAUACCCGUACCGUAAACCGACACAGGUGGAUGAGGAGAGAAUCCUAAGGCCGACGGGAGAAGCAUUGUUAAGGAACUCGGCAAAAUGACUCCGUAACUUCGGGAGAAGGAGUGCCAUGUAAAAGUGGCCGCAGAGAAUUGGCCCAAGCAACUGUUUAGCAAAAACACAGGUCUAUGCAAAACCGAAAGGUGAGGUAUAUGGGCUGACGCCUGCCCGGUGCUGGAAGGUUAAGGGGAGAGGUUAGCCGUAAGGCGAAGCUUUGAACUUAAGCCCCAGUAAACGGCGGCCGUAACUAUAACGGUCCUAAGGUAGCGAAAUUCCUUGUCGGGUAAGUUCCGACCCGCACGAAAGGCGUAAUGAUUUGGGCACUGUCUCAACAAUGCACCCGGUGAAAUUGAAAUACCAGUGAAGAUGCUGGUUACCUGCGCCAGGACGGAAAGACCCCAUGGAGCUUUACUCCAGCUUGAUACUGGGAUUCGAUAUUGCAUGUACAGGAUAGGUGGGAGACU